rnacentral:rRNA from 1 species
GAUGAACGCUGGCGGCGUGCCUAAUACAUGCAAGUCGAACGCUGGAAAUCUAGCUUGCUAGAUUGAAGGAGUGGCGAACGGGUGAGUAAUACAUAAGCAACCUACCCACGAAGACUGGGAUAAUCUCUGGAAACGGGGACUAAUACCGGAUAGGUAAUCGGAAGGCAUCUUCUGAUUAUUAAAGGUUAAAAACACUGGUGGAUGGGCUUAUGGCGCAUUAGUUAGUUGGUGAGGUAACGGCCCACCAAGACGAUGAUGCGUAGCCGGCCUGAGAGGGUGAAAGGCCACAUUGGGACUGAGACACGGCCCAGACUCGUACGGGAGGCAGCAGUAGGGAAUUUUCGGCAAUGGGGGAAACCCUGACCGAGCAACGCCGCGUGAGUGAUGACGGCCUUCGGGUUGUAAAGCUCUGUUGUAAGGGAAGAACGGUAGAUAGAGAAUAUCUAAAUGACGGUACCUUACCAGAAAGCCACGGCUAACUACGUG